rnacentral:rRNA from 1 species
ACGGGUGAGUAACACGUGAGUAACUGCCCUUGACUUUGGGAUAACUUCAGGAAACUGGGGCUAAUACCGGAUAGGAGCUCUGCUGCAUGGUGGGGGUUGGAAAGUUUCGGCGGUUGGGGAUGGACUCGCGGCUUAUCAGCUUGUUGGUGGGGUAGUGGCUUACCAAGGCUUUGACGGGUAGCCGGCCUGAGAGGGUGACCGGCCACAUUGGGACUGAGAUACGGCCCAGACUCCUACGGGAGGCAGCAGUGGGGAAUAUUGCACAAUGGGCGGAAGCCUGAUGCAGCAACGCCGCGUGCGGGAUGACGGCCUUCGGGUUGUAAACCGCUUUCGCCUGUGACGAAGCGUGAGUGACGGUAAUGGGUAAAGAAGCACCGGCUAACUACGUGCCAGCAGCCGCGGUGAUACGUAGGGUGCGAGCGUUGUCCGGAUUUAUUGGGCGUAAAGGGCUCGUAGGUGGUUGAUCGCGUCGGAAGUGUAAUCUUGGGGCUUAACCCUGAGCGUGCUUUCGAUACGGGUUGACUUGAGGAAGGUAGGGGAGAAUGGAAUUCCUGGUGGAGCGGUGGAAUGCGCAGAUAUCAGGAGGAACACCAGUGGCGAAGGCGGUUCUCUGGGCCUUUCCUGACGCUGAGGAGCGAAAGCGUGGGGAGCGAACAGGCUUAGAUACCCUGGUAGUCCACGCUGUAAACGGUGGGUACUAGGUGUGGGGUCCAUUCCACGGGUUCCGCGCCGUAGCUAACGCUUUAAGUACCCCGCCUGGGGAGUACGGCCGCAAGGCUAAAACUCAAAGGAAUUGACGGGGCCCCGCACAAGCGGCGGAGCAUGCGGAUUAAUUCGAUGCAACGCGUAGAACCUUACCUGGGUUUGACAUGGAUCGGGAGUGCUCAGAGAUGGGUGUGCCUCUUUUGGGGUCGGUUCACAGGUGGUGCAUGGCUGUCGUCAGCUCGUGUCGUGAGAUGUUGGGUUAAGUCCCGCAACGAGCGCAACCCUUGUUCACUGUUGCCAGCACGUUAUGGUGGGGACUCAGUGGAGACCGCCGGGGUCAACUCGGAGGAAGGUGGGGAUGACGUCAAGUCAUCAUGCCCCUUAUGUCCAGGGCUUCACGCAUGCUACAAUGGCUGGUACAGAGAGUGGCGAGCCUGUGAGGGUGAGCGAAUCUCGGAAAGCCGGUCUCAGUUCGGAUUGGGGUCUGCAACUCGA